GGGCGCGUAGCUCAGCGGGAGAGCACUGCCUUCACACGGCAGGGGUC
rnacentral:tRNA from 1 species